rnacentral:rRNA from 3 species
GGAUACCCGCUGAACUUAAG